AUGAACGCUGGCGGCGUGCUUAACACAUGCAAGUCGAACGAAGCACUUUAUUUGAUUUCCUUCGGGACUGAUUAUUUUGUGACUGAGUGGCGGACGGGUGAGUAACGCGUGGGUAACCUGCCUUGUACAGGGGGAUAACAGUUGGAAACGGCUGCUAAUACCGCAUAAGCGCACAGCAUCGCAUGAUGCAGUGUGAAAAACUCCGGUGGUUUAAGAUGGACCCGCGUUGGAUUAUCUAGUUGGUGAGGUAACGGCCCACCAAGGCGUCGAUCCAUAGCCGAUGUGGGCGGGAGGCCGACCACGUUGGGACUCAGACAAGGCCCAGACUCCUGCGGGAGGCAGCGGUAGGGACUUUUGCACGAUGAGCGAAAGGCUGAUACGGCGACGCCGCGUAAGAGAAGAAGUAUUUCAGUAUGUAAAGCUCUAUCAGCAGGGAAGAUAAUGACGGUUCCUGACUAAGAAGCACCGGCUAAAUACGGG
rnacentral:rRNA from 1 species